rnacentral:lncRNA from 13 species
GAGCAGGCUUACCAUAAAAGGCAGAAGAGAACUGAAAUGAAGUGCUCUCAUAAACAUUUCAUAAAAUACAACCACACACGUAUCACACACUUGGGAGCAAUGCCAUAAAAGUUCUUCACAGGAAGAGGCAAUGUUCUUUCCAUCGCCCUUCCAUUUCAGCAAGGAUUUGUUCUGAAUUCUGAAGUCCCUACAGACAGAAUAGUGUUCUUUCACCUUCAGAAAGUGUUGACUACGCUGUUGCCGUCUACACACUGCCAUGAAGGACCAAUGGGUAGAGCAAGAAGGGCAGUCCCAUUUCUGCAAGAAAUGUCCACUCCUCAUCUUGUGCGACUUACGAAUAUCCUAGGUGAGCACAACUGCACCAAUCAGAGGCAAGAGAGAACAUCAAUCAGAAGGCAAGCUGAUGCUGCA